AUGUCUGUUUUCAACUUGAACUUGUCUUUAAUGAUUGUUUCUUUGUUGUUGUUGAGCACUACAAUGGCUCAAUCUCCAACUAAAUCGCAGCCACCUAGGAAAUCAAUCUCUCCGUCACCUGCUGCUGUAACUCAAUCACCAGCAUCUUCUCCACCUCAACCGUUUGCUUCUACUCCGGCCAUCUCUCCUUCUUCCAUCUCUGGUCCGCCAUCUGAAGCACCAGGACCUGCUUCGGACGCUGUCGUUUUGAACAGAGUUUCAGUCGGUGUUGGAUCUGCUCUUGUGAUUUUCGUAGCUUUUUUGAUCUUGUAA
rnacentral:lncRNA from 1 species